rnacentral:rRNA from 1 species
GACGAACGCUGGCGGCGUGCUUAACACAUGCAAGUCGAGCGGUAAGGCCCUUUCGGGGGUACACGAGCGGCGAACGGGUGAGUAACACGUGGGUGACCUGCCCUCAGCUCUGGGAUAAGCCUGGGAAACCGGGUCUAAUACUGGAUAUGACUCCAUGACGCAUGUUGGUGGGGUGGAAAGCCUUGUGCGGCUGAGGAUGGGCCCGCGGCCUAUCAGCUUGUUGGUGGGGUGANGGCCUACCAAGGCGACGACGGGUAGCCGGCCUGAGAGGGCGACCGGCCACAC